AACGUAGGUUCCGAGCGUUAUCCGGAUUUACUGGGCGUAAAGCGCGUUCAGGCGGUUUGGCAAGUCGGGCAUGAAAUCUCUCGGCUCAACCGGGAGAGGUUGUCCGAUACUUCCAGACUUGAGGGCAGUAGAGGGUGGUGGAAUUCCGGGUGUAGUGGUGAAAUGCGUAGAUAUCCGGAGGAACACCAGUGGCGAAAGCGGCCACCUGGACCACAACUGACGCUGAGGCGCGAAAGCUAGGGGAGCAAACAGG
rnacentral:rRNA from 1 species